rnacentral:rRNA from 1 species
GACGUAGGGCGCGAGCGUUGUCCGGAUUUAUUGGGCGUAAAGAGCUCGUAGGCGGCUUGUCGCGUCGUCCGUGAAAACUUGGGGCUCAACCCCAAGCUUGCGGUCGAUACGGGCAGGCCAGAGUUCGGUAGGGGAGACUGGAAUUCCUGGUGUAGCGGUGAAAUGCGCAGAUAUCAGGAGGAACACCGGUGGCGAAGGCGGGUCUCUGGGCCGAUACUGACGCUGAGGAGCGAAAGCGUGGGGAGCGAACAGG